AGUUUGAUCCUGGCUCAGGACGAACGCUGGCGGCGCGCCUAACACAUGCAAGUCGAACGAGCGAGAGAGAGCUUGCUUUCUCGAGCGAGUGGCGAACGGGUGAGUAACGCGUGAGGAACCUGCCUCAAAGAGGGGGACAACAGUUGGAAACGACUGCUAAUACCGCAUAAGCCCACGACCCGGCAUCGGGUUGAGGGAAAAGGAGCAAUCCGCUUUGAGAUGGCCUCGCGUCCGAUUAGCUAGUUGGUGAGGUAACGGCCCACCAAGGCAACGAUCGGUAGCCGGACUGAGAGGUUGAACGGCCACAUUGGGACUGAGACACGGCCCAGACUCCUACGGGAGGCAGCAGUGGGGAAUAUUGCACAAUGGGGGAAACCCUGAUGCAGCGACGCCGCGUGGAGGAAGAAGGUCUUCGGAUUGUAAACUCCUGUUGUUGAGGAAGAUAAUGACGGUACUCAACAAGGAAGUGACGGCUAACUACGUGCCAGCAGCCGCGGUAAAACGUAGGUCACAAGCGUUGUCCGGAAUUACUGGGUGUAAAGGGAGCGCAGGCGGGAAGACAAGUUGGAAGUGAAAUCCAUGGGCUCAACCCAUGAACUGCUUUCAAAACUGUUUUUCUUGAGUAGUGCAGAGGUAGGCGGAAUUCCCGGUGUAGCGGUGGAAUGCGUAGAUAUCGGGAGGAACACCAGUGGCGAAGGCGGCCUACUGGGCACCAACUGACGCUGAGGCUCGAAAGUGUGGGUAGCAAACAGGAUUAGAUACCCUGGUAGUCCACACCGUAAACGAUGAUUACUAGGUGUUGGAGGAUUGACCCCUUCAGUGCCGCAGUUAACACAAUAAGUAAUCCACCUGGG
rnacentral:rRNA from 1 species